AUCACCUGAGAUCUUUUUAAAAUGCAGAUUCUGAUUCACUGGGUCUGGGGUGGGUCCUGAGAUUCUGUAUUUCUAAUAAGUUUCCAGGUGAUGUUCA
rnacentral:pre_miRNA from 1 species